rnacentral:rRNA from 1 species
UACGAAGGGGGCUAGCGUUGCUCGGAAUCACUGGGCGUAAAGCGCACGUAGGCGGAUCUUUAAGUCAGGGGUGAAAUCCUGGAGCUCAACUCCAGAACUGCCUUUGAUACUGAAAAUCUUGAGUCCGGGAGAGGUGAGUGGAACUGCGAGUGUAGAGGUGAAAUUCGUAGAUAUUCGCAAGAACACCAGUGGCGAAGGCGGCUCACUGGCCCGGUACUGACGCUGAGGCACGAAAGCGUGGGGAGCAAACAGGG